CCCCCCCCCCCCCCUCCUCUGAACAUGCAUGUACUGUUUAUCUUCAAUCUGGUUCAACUUAUGCUGUUGUAUUUAGCUUGCUUGUCCUCACAUGGAUGUCUCUUGAGCUCCAAUGAACAAACACACUCUGAGCAGCAAAAAGUGAAGCAUUUUGUUGGGUAUCUAGGUUUCUUAUCACUGAGCAGGUAGACUAUGUACCACAUUGCAGGAAGGCUACAGGCAUCUUAAGCAGGUGCUUUUGAUCCCUUUCUUAGUUCUUGAUUUUACAUUUGAGUAAAUCUUGCUUACCAUUAGUGCCAUAUAUUAUAGGAAAACAUUUGUGUGUCUGUCAAAGGUGAAACCAAAACGUGUGGUACUCCUAUAAUUAUUGGCAAAAUACACUCAAGGUUCUGUGAAAUCCGUUCUGGAUUGAGAAACCAGAGAGUAUGUGCAUUGCUGCAAUCAUGGAGCUGUCCAUCGUGAAUAUGGCCGGUGCCUUGUCUGAAUGCAACUCUUGGCGUUUGCAGACGGAGGAGUCAGGACUCAGGCAAAAACCUACACUUCAAUCUAGUUCAACUUUUGCUCUUGUAUUUAGCUUGCUUGUGCUCAUGUGCAUGUCUCUUGAGUUCCAUUGAGCAAACACGCUCUGAGCAGGAAAAAGCGAAGCAUUUUUGGGCAUCUAGGUUUCUUAUCAGUGAUAGACUAUGUACCAUAUCCCAGGAAAGUUGCAGGCAUCCUAAGCAGGUGCUUUUGAUCCCUUUCGUAGUUCAUGAUACCAUAUUUGAGUGCAUUUUGCUUAAUAUUUGUUACAUGUGUUCUUGAAAAAUAUGUUUGUUUCUGUCGAAGGCGAAACAUAACGUGUGUUACUCCCAUGGUUUAUUUAUUUUCAAAAUACCUAUGGUUCUGUGGAAUCAAUUCUGGAUCUGGAAACCAGAGAGUAUGUGCAUUGCUGCAAUCAUUGAGCUGUGCAUUGUGAAAUUGUACACGUGACAUAUGGCCGGUGCUUGUCUGAAUGCAACCAGAGGAGUCAGGAAUCAGGCAAUGCUACUCAUGGGAAACCAGCACUGUUCAGCAACCGGCCAAAGGUGUGGGGAAGAUGGCGCCUCUUUGUCCACAGGCACAAGUAUGCCAUAACAAUUCGUGUCCCCUUGUGCUCUAAGGGAAUGUAAUACAGCUGCUAAUGCUCUACAAGAUACUUCGGAAGCCUUCUCUGUCUGCAACAUCCAAAAUCAGAUGAAGAGCGUAACAGUAUACAACUCUGGUGAGCUGGAAGAGAGCUAGCUAUAGAUAAGAAGCUAUCUGGCUAUAUUGGUGUUAAUGACAAAACGAAGGGCGGAGUAAUAUGGAAGGAAAUGCGUGUUUCUGUGAUUCUGUCGAAGGCGGAACAUAACGCGGGGUACUCCUAUAAUUAUUGGCAAAAAAAUACUUGAGGUUCUGUGAAGUCCAUUCUGGAUUGAGAAACCAGAGAGUAUGUGCAUUGCUGCAAUCAUCAUGGUCUCAUGGAGUUGUCUAUUGUGGGAUGAGAUUAUACAUACACGGGACAUAUGGCCGGUGCCUGUCUGAACGCAACCCUUGGCGUAUGCAACCGGAGGAAUCGGUCAGGACUCGGGGCAACGUCACUCGUGCACUGUUGAGGACUCAGCAACCGGCCAAGGUAUGGCUUUGGCAUGUCUCCCUCACUAAAAGAUUAACCUGCAGUAGUACCUGUGUUAGAGAAAAAAGUUUAACCUGUGGUAGUAGUACAGUACCGAUGCUUGUUGGAAUGCAACAGGUGUGUGUGGGGAAGGAAGGAAGACGGCGCCUCUCUGGCUGUCCACAGGUAUUAAUACCGUUUUGUCUCAUCCCCUGUCUUCUACCACCACCCGUAGAGAAGAAAAAAUGCAUGCCUGCCUGCCUGCACAUAAUAUAAAAUUACUGCCCUAAGUGUCACAUGAGAUUAGGUAAGUCUGUUUGCAUGGGGCAUUGAAGCCCGCCUCUGUCCUGUCCUGUCCUGCCUUGCAGUUAGUUGCAUUUCACUGUACUACUACUGCCAUCAGCAUGAUAAACAAGCAUAUCUUGGUCCAAGGGCUCAGUGAGAUGCCCGUACUACAUUACGCGUUCUCUCCAUAACUUUGACCCCUCAGUCAAACCAUCUGCCACCCCUGUCUGUCCUCCUGCCGCAGCGCAAUGAAAAACGCAAUGAAAAUAACCAAUGUUGUACCAGAUGCUAGCCAUUGUUCCUCUGCUUCACCCCUGCCGUGCCACCUCCACGGUAUUUUCACCUUUUUCAGGCUCGCAAAUACGCCGGUGGCCGAGAGAUAAUACAGUACCAGCAGCGGCACCUCCACUGUUUCUGGAUGCCGAUUCCACGCUUUGGUCCGUAUCUGUACGCGCCCUCCCUCGCUCGCUGGAGGCUGGAGCCCAGGAGGAAGGAAGGAGGGAAGGAAGCAAUCAUUCUGCACGGCCGGGUAGCCAUGGAUGGGCUCGCGCACACGAACCAAAGCAAAGCGGCGGGCGCUGCUGCGGCUGCCGCUGCCAGCGCAAGUGGGUGGAGGGAGGGGGAGGCGCCUUUUCCAGCGGUUUGUUGCGAUUGGAAAUCUCUCUCCAGCUUUUCCCCUCCGCCCGGGCAACAGAAAGGCGAGCCCUUUUCCCCCCAUGGCCACCGGGGAGGAAGAUUCCCUCUGCUCGCAUUAGGGUUUUGCUCGCUCGCCCCAUGCGGUUCCAAGAUGCCGCUGCUAAACCCUGUGCUGGCUUUAACUGUCGCUGGGAGAUGGACGGUGAAAGGAGGGGGAAUCUCCCGUUCGCUUUGUGAGAUUUCUCUCCCUCUGGCUCUGGCUCUGGCCCAUCGCACUCCCUCCCAAUGCUCGUGCUCGGCUGGGCGGGCCGGGCCUGUGGUGGUGGUGUGCUUGCAUUGCGUGACAAUGACACGUCCCGGUCAGAAGAAGAUGGAGGAGGACAAGCCGUGGUGGAGGGGAACUGGCAAUCAUCAUCAUCACAAGCCAAGGCUGCGAGCCUUUUUGGCCACCCCAUUGUGCCGUGUGGCUUUGUCAGUGACUCAGCGCCCUAUGCACCAUUGCUACCACCUUCCAACUGUUCCAGGUAUCUCUGAUACGAUACAUAAUUAGUUUCCAACAAACAUAUAAAGCUAAGUAUCUCUGGUAGGACACAAUCACAAAAGUUCAAAUGAUUUCAUGAGUAAUGCUACUAGUUACAAUGGCCACAUUGUAGUUUUUAAUUUACAACAGAGUACUUGCACUAGUUUAUGUUUGGCUAUUCCUUUUGGAUGUGCAGAUAGGACAGUCAUCUUCUAACCUUGUUAACCACAACAGAAAGCUUUGGAUGAUUUCUACUCCAUUGGCCGGCGAUGUGUAGGUUCAAAGGAAAGCAAAGCAUUUUCCAUGGAGCACUAGUGUAACACUCACAGAGCCUUUGUUUUGAAGCCAAGGCAAGGCAUGGCGAACGAGAUGCAGCGUGGAGCAGAAGUUGGCAGGGGCAUGGAGGGAGCGAGCAAUGUGUGCGAGGCAGCGGAAGCGGUGGCGAGAAAUGUUCCGUGUAAUGACAAGUCCCAUCGAGUUCAAUUCGGCCGGCGUACCAAGAAAUGUUUGUGAUGGUCUAUCUAUCUGCUCCGCUGCCGCCCAAAGCCCAUGAUGUGACGGUAUGAUAGGCGCGGCAAGCGAAGGGAGGACGCUCCGGUGAUAAGGUAAAAAAAGCGGUCAAAAGACGGCGAGGACUGGGCAGUUUUUAAGACGGCACGCCGGAGUAGAUGAGAUGAGGAGCACCACCAUCCGCUGGCUGGACGGUGAGCUUUCUCCAAAGCCCUCCUCUCAAAAUACUGCACACCGCAUCAUGGCCUCGCCGGUUUUCUACCGUCUUUUACUUGGUAUCUCUUGAUGGGCCUUCAUUGUUCUCGUUGUUGUACCUCCGGGAUGAUUGGGUCUUUGCGAGCUUUUUAAUGCGGUAAGUAGUUUUGGAGUGGUGUGGCGGAGAAAAGCUGCGGGGAGGGGGGCAGGGCAUUCAUGCGGUCACAAGGCUGGGAGGGACAAUGCCGCAAUGGUGGCUCGGCUCGUUUGACCGGCCUUUGGCCCUGGUCCAAAAGAGGGCUGGACGUUCUACAGUGGCUCGGUGAGGAGCCCGUGGACCGAAGGGGUGGGAGGGGGGCCUGGGUAUGCGUGCGCUCUGCAGGCCCCAGAAGAUUUAACAAGGACAAAAAAGAAAUCGUGUGUAGGGGCUCGUCCAGCUAGAACGGCGAACUUUACGGGAAAAGACUGACAGGCGUAGCCUAGUUUUUCUAAUAAUUGCGCCCAUGAGAUUGAGAUUCCACAAGGAUUCGAGAUCAAUGACAACGCAAGUAAUGAUAUUUUAGCAGCCUGUGCUCCUGCGACCUAGGGAAGAUGUAUAUGUUAUAUCUCGAAUACUUUUCCCCUGCCCCUCCUUUUCAUUUCAAGCAAAAGGGGUGACGACUAUGCUGUAGCGCCCAAGUAACAUAUUGAUUUGCCCACUUGACCUAGAUUCGGUGUGGACUCGUGAUCAGCUGCGAUGCUAGAAUAAUGUGGACCUGGCUAGAAUGUUUGUUCUUCCUUGCAAGGUUGUCUUGUUUGAGCCUCUCUAGAUUAAGUUGCUUUUACUAUAGAUUACCAUAGAGGCCUUUCGGAUUUAAUGGCUGGGGUAAAGAAAGUUUUGUCGGAAUCUGGCGGCUAGAAUUUUAUCAUCUUGUAGUCUAAUUUCAAAAAAAAAUUACCAUGUGACCUUUCGGAUUAAGUGGCUGAGGUAAAGAAAGUUUUGUUGGAAUCAGACGGCUAGAAUUUUAUUAUCUUGUAGUUUAAUUUCAUCAUUUUACCCUGUAUUGAUUAAGAAUAAGAGAAUUACUUGAUUAGUUAAAAAACGGACUAAACCCGUUACAACAGGCCCACAAAACAAGGCAACGGAGGGAUCUAGCUACCCGCAA